rnacentral:rRNA from 1 species
CCUACGGGAGGCAGCAGUGAGGAAUAUUGGUCAAUGGCCGGAAGGCUGAACCAGCCAAGCCGCGUGAAGGACGAAGGUGCCAAGCAUUGUAAACUUCUUUUGUCAAGGGACAAAAUCAGGCUCGAGAGCCUGACCGAGGGUACUUGAAAAAAAAGCAUCGGCUAACUCCGUGCCAGCCGCCGCGGUAAUACGGAGGAUGCGAGCGUUAUCCGGAUUUAUUGGGUUUAAAGGGUGCGUAGGCGGGCUUUUAAGUCAGCGGUAAAAGCCCGGGGCUCAACCCCGGCGAGCCGUUGAGACUGGCUGUCUUGAGAUGUCGAGAGGUAUGCGGAAUGCGCAGUGUAGCGGUGAAAUGCUUAGAUAUUGCGCAGAACUCCGAUUGCGAAGGCAGCAUACCGGCGGCGAUCUGACGCUGAGGCACGAAAGCGUGGGUAUCGAACAGGAUUAGAUACCCGUGUAGUC